GGCGAGGGAGCGCGCCGGGGGUCCCCUCAACCCGCGGGCGCGCCGCUGAGGGGACGAGUGUCGCCGAGCAGCCGGGGCCUUGGCCGGUGGCGGGGUCCGGGAAGGUCCCCGUCGCCUCCGUGCUCCUCGUUCAGGCCGUAAGGGGGCAACCGGGGAGAAGGUCCCGCCAAUGAGGGGUUUUGCGGGCGGGCCGGCGGAGUAAGCGGCGCCUCCUGUUCCUCCAGCGGGCCACCCGCCCGCUCCCCCACCGCCGCCGGCUCCGGCUCGGCGCAAAGGAUUGAUGUUUAUUCACCAGGCGGUAAAACCGCUCCAGCCGCCCCGGCUUAUUUAUCGCCGCGUGAGUCUCCGCGCUAUCAUUAACCCCGCGACCGAGAAGAGAAGAGGAAGUGGAGCUCAGCAGGGAAAUUAACCCGCCCGAGGCUAAAGCAGCCGCGGGGCCGCAUUCCCCCGCCCGGGCAGCAAGCCCUGCCGCUCUGUGCGGCUCCCGGGCGAGCCGAGGAGCGGGCACCGGCGCUCUCUCCCGCGGGAAAGCCCAGCCCGCCCUGCUCCGCUUCCCUCGGGCCGCCCGUUAACGUCAGGGGGCGGGGGAAGGGGGUCACGGGGGUGUGUGUAAGAGCGGAACGAGCGGCGGCCCGCGCGCAUGCGUUAACGGCGGCCGGUGUGGGGCGGCUCGGGCCGAGGAGCGGGUGAGGUGGCGGAGCCCGGGCCAGGGCGGCUGCCCUGGGGUGCCUGCCCUGAGGGAAGGGGCGGGAGCCUCGGGCCGGCAGUCUCGGGCCGGCAGUCUCGGGCCGGCAGCGAGCCCUGAGGAGCGGGAAGGCGGCUGAGGCUGGGGUGGGGGGAGGAAGGGAGCGUUAGGCGGGGGCUGCGGGGCUGGGCCUGUGCUGUGGGAAGCGGCUGCCGCCCGCGGGGGUGGUGUGGUGGUUGCCGUGGUGUGGCGGUGGUUGUUGUUGUGGUGCGAGGCGGGGAGGGCCGGGGUGGGAAGGUGCGAGGCAGGCCUCGGGGCUGGUCCCGCCUGCUGCCUGCCCUCCCCUUGCUCCCCACGGGCUUUGUGCUGCCUCUUCUCAUUGCUAACGGAGACUUCCCUUUGUCAGAGUGCAGUGUGACUUGUGAGGAGUUCCCUUCCCUGAAGCCUGGACCUGGGUGGUGGUUUUUCUUUUGUGGCCUAGCAA
rnacentral:lncRNA from 1 species